GAUGAACGCUGGCGGCGUGCCUAACACAUGCAAGUCGAGCGAACAGACGAGGAGCUUGCUCCUCUGACGUUAGCGGCGGACGGGUGAGUAACACGUGUAUAACCUACCUAUCAGACUGGGAUAACUUCGGGAAACCGGCGCUAAUACCGUAUAAUAUAUUGAACCGCAUGGUUCAAUAGUGAAAUACGGUUUUUCUGUCACUUAUAGAUGGAUCUGCGCUGCAUUAGCUAGUUGGUAAGGUAACGGCUUACCAAGGCUACGAUGCGUAGCCGACGUGAGAGAGUGGUCGGCCACCCUGGAGGUGGGACGGGGUCCAGGCGCCUACGGGAGGGAGCAGUAGGGAAUCUUACGCAAUGGGCGAAAGCCUGGCAGAACGGCCCCGCGUGAGAGAUGAAGAUCUUCGGAGCGUAAAGCUGUGUUAUUAGGGAAAAACAGAUGUGGAAGUAGCUGUGCACGUCUUGACGGUACCUGGUCAGAAAGCCACGGCUAACUACGUG
rnacentral:rRNA from 1 species